rnacentral:rRNA from 1 species
UACGUAGGGUGCGAGCGUUGCCCGGAUUUAUUGGGCGUAAAGGGCGCGUAGGCGGCUCGGCACGUCCGUUGUGAAAUCGCCCGGCUCAACUGGGCGGGGUCAGCGGAUACGGUCGAGCUUGAGCAAGCUAGGGGGCAAUGGAAUUCCCGGUGUAGUGGUGGAAUGCGUAGAUAUCGGAAGGAACGCCGGUGGCGAAAGCGACGUGCUGGACCCUUUCUGACGCUGAGGCGCGAAAGCCAGGGGAGCAAACGGG